GCAUUUUCUAGCUGUGUUUGUCGUGGUGCUCCCACCUUCUUUGCUGCCAGUGCCAAUGCCAGGGUCAGAUUGCUCUAAACUUUCCUUAUUACCAUGAAUAUUUACAUUGGCUUUAAACAUCCUAUUUUUGUCCACUGCUCUAUGUUCCUGAAACCACCCAAUGGGUUCUCCUUGCCUACUGCCUAGACAGGGCCAAUUUAUCAAGACAGGGAACUUGCAAUAGAGAAAGAGUUUAAUUCAUGAAGAGCUGGUUGUGUGAGAGACUGGAGUUUUAUUAUUACUCAAAUCAGUCUCCCAGAGAAUUCAGGAACUGGAGUUUUUAAGGAUAAUUUGGUGGGUAGCAGGACUGACUCAUAAACUGGUAAACAUGUGUUUCUCAAAAAAAUAAAAUAAAAUAACUCUUGGUGAGCCUUCCAGGACUCAUGGAGGAGGUUCAUUUUUCAGCUAACCUGUCUCAUAGACUAGAGUCUGCUACGUGGACCUGCAACAUUAACCAAUGUAGUAGACACUGUCAGGCUGGAGCCAAGGAAGGCCUUUUUGCCCCAGUUUUUUCAGCUGUCAGGUCCUUCAGGGUCAGGCACAGCUGCAAAGAGCCUCCUUGUCUAGGUCAAUGCCCUUCUCAAGAAGGUCUA
rnacentral:lncRNA from 1 species